GAAGUGCGGGACGCGUACCUGGCCAAUAUUGACACAGAUUGAAGUCGGAUAUGGGAAUUGAGAACACCGCAAUGAUGUUUCCUUGGCGUGCCUCCUCGAAGUGUAUUUAACUGCUUCGACCUCAACUUGACAAUCUGUUCCAUCCACUGAGGACAUCCCUGGACAAUUUCCUCUCACUGUUCAAUGUUCGAGAGCAGUGUGGUGAUAAUAAGAGAUAUUUCCCUAGGCCUACUCCCGCCACACAGAUAUUGAGGUCAGGCCAUUUGAAACGAGAUCUCGGAGGAAAUUUCAGAAGGCGACGAUGAUUAUUUUUCGCCUCUUGUCUCUCUCUAUUCAAGAUCAGUUGAGGUCAAGUCCAAGCGAGCCCUUGGAAAGGGGGCAAAGCAUUGUGAAUCAUUAGUUUUGCCUCCCCCGCAGUGCAAAAACUUCAGCUCAUCAAGGCUUUAGCGCGAUAAUGGCAUCUGGAGAGAAAGGAAUUGGAACCUGCUCGCUUAUCUUGAUGCGAUAUUGUUUGGCAACUCAAUCUUCAAAUUUGCACCAUGACCAUGAAGAGGCGGUUUCAAAAGCAGCUGCGUUUGUUUGUAACAAAUCUUCAUCUUUGAUCCUGCCGGACUUGGUUGUUUAACGGAGCUUGAAUUGCAAAGACGACUCGCCCUUUUCUCAAUUCUUCCUUAUCUUCACUUGGGGAUCUCGGCUCAAUUCUGAUUCUUAAUUGAAAUCCACAAAAAGUGAGAUGUCAAAUUUGAGAACUGCCCAUCAUUGCAUUUCACCUCGCUCGAAUUGUGUUUGAAAUUCACCCUUCUGUGGUUAAUCUGGCUGCUCAAAGCGAGCCCUGCCAAGACAAUGGAGGAAUUAUGCAAGAGGGCAAUGGCAACGGAGUCUGCUUUUCACAGCAUCACCUUUGAUCACAUAACCCUGAGAUACUUUGAGAUAAUGUCCCGAUCAUGUCGGAAUUCAUCAUGCAGUCUCCUCCGUAUUCUUGGUUCCGUUUCUUCUUGACUUAGCUUAUGUGGGACCCAUGAUCUUACCCGUUUUCCGGUGAACGAUAAAGGCCAUAUCCUUCCAGCCCAAUGUAACCACAAGUGAAUGGACAGCUUGAACCAAAUGGGUCGCUUGUGGGCCCAUUUGCACCGUGUAUUUCCCAAUGUUGUCCUCCAAUGCGAACGAAGUUCCAGUGGUCAAAUAGGGAAUGUGAAGUGCCGAACAAACCGAGGCCACACUCGUAUCGACCUCCCGAUCUGAGCUCCCGAAAACCGCCAUCACGCUGCGACAAAAGGGUAAAAAUACAUGCCCAUUAUCCAGAUCAAGACGGAUUUCAUUGAACUAAUCGUUAUCACGCAUUUCCCGCCCAUACAAGCUUCAAUGUGCGCGUUAAAAAGGUGCACAAAUGAGCAUUUGUAAUGUUCCAUGGCCAAAUUUAUGAGUGAAAGAAGGUCACCCUGAACUCAAUUCAAACGCCACAUUCCCUGUUGUGCACGUGCUCUCACCUAUACUGGACUUCUGUGCAAAUCCUUUGAUAAGCGUCAUAACGAUCGGCCUUGGCGUACUGAAGGUCUGUGUCCACUCGGGUGGUAUUCAGCAAAUUUGGAUUGUCAUUGAUAGCUCGGACCGUUUGUCGGAAGGACUCGUGCAUCCUCGAGUCUCCGGCCAGAAAGACACUCCCUGACACAAGUAAUCGGAUCUGGAACAUCCUUAAACCCAAAAGUCAACGUGACAUUUCUGGAGAAAUGGCGUUUCUCAACUCAAUUAGAUGCUACGCCUCCUUUGAGGAUUCAUUUCCACCUGGCGAAUUCCUUAAGGUUGGUUAAUGGAAUGACGUUUUCAUUACCCGUGCAUUCGUAUCAUGCGAGACUGGUGGCCUAGAGCGGCCAUUUCCUUUGCCUCCCAACUUGAAGGAAUCAAUAAUGACAAUCCAACGAGUACCUUGAACUUGCCCUCAUUGAAAGGAUGCUCUCAACCCACCCAUUCCUGAGUUUCGGUCCAAUGCAAAGAAUGCUCUUGGCAACAUCAACAUGUGGUCGCCCAUAAGAACAGGGGGGAGGAAAGAGCUGUUUGCAUUUACGUGAUGAUUGCAAAACCAAUGAAUGGAAACAAUGACCUCCAAGACAUAUUGGUGGGUCUUAAUAUAUAAUCUUGAUGAUGGAUGAAUAAGUACUAACAUGUCCAAAAUGAGUUGCAAUUUUAUGUGGAUUUUAUGGAUUUUAAAUCGAAGUAAAAAUCAUUUAUUUUUCCAUUGGAUUAUUAUGAGAAUGAAACGGUGAAACAAGUCUUUAGUUGGGAAAUAAAGUGCCAAUUUUAAA